CACGGGGGGAGCAAGCGUUGUUCGGAAUCACUGGGCGUAAAGGGCGUGUAGGCGGUCAGGUAAGUGAGAUGUGAAAUGCCCCCGGCUCACCCGGGGACCGGCAUCUCAUACUGCUUGGCUUGAGUACGGGAGAGGAUGUGGGAAUUCCUGGUGUAGCGGUGAAAUGCGUAGAUAUCAGGAGGAACACCGGUGGCGAAGGCGCACAUCUGGCCCGAUACUGACGCUGAGGCGCGAAAGCUAGGGGGAGCAAACGGG
rnacentral:rRNA from 1 species